GGGUUGAACGCUAAGACAGCAUGAACAAACCAACUGUCAUCGCAGUUCUCGCUUUCGUGUGCAUCGCACUGUUAAUCGUGACUGAUGCUAAGCGAAAAGCUGCACAAGAAGACGAUGUGUGUGAUAGGCGAAACCACACUUGCUGGUACCCUGAGAUGUGCAAAGGCUGUCCAAGCGCCAUUCAGAAUAGUUCCAGAGGACACAAUAUAUAUUACUUCGACAAUAAUACAAACACCUGCAACAUGAGUAUUGGUGAAAGCAACAGCUGUAACAGUUUCCAGACGUUAGAUGAGUGCGAGCACUACUGUGGGUUGUCUGAUCCAGAUGAGGAAUGAAAACCAGAUCGCACGGGUUUCUGUAUGAGAAUAUUCUGGAUAUCACAGCGGAGCUAGCAUGGGAGACUUAUUCAAAGUGGUGUUGGUUAUUCUGCUGAAAAUUUUGCUCAAUAAACAAUCUUGCAUUAAA